AAAAAAAUUAACAUGAGGUACAUACUUAACAGGUCUCAUAGUUGUGAUUUUGAGAGAGGAAAGUAAAGGAAAGAACCAAACUCAGUUACAUCUGGUAAUUCUAGUUCCAGAAAUAGUUCCUGAUUGCAGACGGGUACUGAAGUUGCGUAGUUUACAAGUUAAAGUCUGCUGCUUCUAUCCUUUCUCGUCAACAUAUGCUAAGCAAAGGAGUCCAUCUGCUGAGUUUUACGAUCCCCAGAGUGUUGCAUCCCUCAAGUACUUCAGAUUUGGCCAUUACCAACAGAGGCUGCCUUCAGCAUGGUCUGCAGUGUUUAC
ensembl:lncRNA